GAUGAACGCUGGCGGCGUGCCUAAUACAUGCAAGUCGAGCGAACAGACGCGGCUCUUGCUCCUCUGACGUUAGCCGCGCACGGGUGAAUAACACGUGUAUCACCUACCUAUAAGUCUGGUAUCACUUCGGGAAACCGGAGCUAAUACCGGAUAAUAUAUUGCACCGCAUGGUUCAAUAGUGAAAGACGGUUUUGCUGUCACUUAUAGAUGGAUCCGCGCCGCUUUGGCUGGUUGGUAAGGUAACGGCCUUCCAAGGCGACGAUGCGUAGACGACGUGAGAGGGUGAUAGGCCACACUAGAACGGAGACACGGUCAAGACUCCUACGAGAGGCAGCAGUAGGGAACCGGCGGCAGUGGGCGAAAGCCUGACGGAGCAGGGGCGAGCGAGAUAUGAAAGUGUUGGGAGCGUAAAGCUCUGUUAUGGGGGAAGAACAAAUGUGGACGGAGACAAGGAGGGAGUGACGGUAACGAGUAAGGAAGCACCGGCUAACUACGUG
rnacentral:rRNA from 1 species